rnacentral:rRNA from 1 species
AUACGGAGGAUCCGAGCGUUAUCCGGAUUUAUUGGGUUUAAAGGGAGCGUAGAUGGAUGUUUAAGUCAGUUGUGAAAGUUUGCGGCUCAACCGUAAAAUUGCAGUUGAUACUGGAUAUCUUGAGUGCAGUUGAGGCAGGCGGAAUUCGUGGUGUAGCGGUGAAAUGCUUAGAUAUCACGAGGAACUCCGAUUGCGAAGGCAGCCUGCUAAGCUGCAACUGACAUUGAGGCUCGAAAGUGUGGGUAUCAAACAGGAUUAGAUACCCUGGUAGUCCACACGGUAAACGAUGAAUACUCGCUGUUUGCGAUAUACAGCAAGCGGCCAAGCGAAAGCGUUAAGUAUUCCACCUGGGGAGUACGCCGGCAACGGUGAAACUCAAAUGAAUUGACGGGG